CCUAACGGGAGGCAGCAGUGGGGAAUCUUGCGCAAUGGGGGAAGCCCUGACGCAGCAACGCCGCGUGGGUGAUGAAGGCCUUCGGGUCGUAAAGCCCUGUCAGGUGGAAAGAAAUGUGUGGAUGCGAAUAACAUCCUCACUUGACGGUACCACCGGAGGAAGCACCGGCUAACUCCGUGCCAGCAGCCGCGGUAAUACGGAGGGUGCAAGCGUUGUUCGGAAUUAUUGGGCGUAAAGCGCGUGUAGGUGGUUGGGCAAGUCAGAGGUAAAAGCCCUCCGCUAAAUGGAGGAAGUGCAUUUGAAACGGCCAAGCUAGAGUACGGGAGAGGAGAGUGAAAUUCCCGGUGUAGAGGUAAAAUUCGUAGAUAUCGGGAGGAACACCAGUGGCGAGGGCGGCUCCCUGGACCGAUACUGACACUGAGACGCGAAAGCGUGGGGAGCAAACAGGAUUAGAUACCCCUGUAGU
rnacentral:rRNA from 1 species